rnacentral:lncRNA from 1 species
GUGGCGUGUGCGGUCAGGAGGCCAGAGCUUCGAGCGAUCCAGGCUGCGGCUCCGCUGAGGGGCCGGCUGUGUGAGCCAGGGAUCCGCGGGGCUGAGGGACGCUCAGGAGCGGCGAGGCUCGCGGCCCGAAGGAUGGGCCGAUGGAAGAAACAUGACAUCUAGAGGCAGCAGACUUGUUUCAGAUUCAUGCCUUAUCAGUUCUUAGGUUUGUGUAUUGGAAUCAAAUGAAAAGUAUAACAGAAUCCUGCCCUUUUUAAAACUAAGUCACAGGAGCAUCCCUUGCAAGAUGUCCGCACUAAGGAUCUGGCUAAUGCAAGCUUUGCUUAUUUUCCUCACUACUGAGUCUAUAGGUCAACUUGUGGAACCAUGUGGUUAUAUCUACCCUGAGUUUCCA